AGGUGGUUCUCACGCUCAUAAGCCUGCGGCCCUGAAGCCCAACCCUUUGGCUGUUGUGUCUGAGUUUUUAACAACAGUUGGAGGAAAAAGAGAAGUGAUUGAGAUGAUGGUGCUUCGCAUCCCAGAGGGAGUUUCACUUGACAGAUAAGCGCCCUGAGUCAUAAGCUGAAUACGUGCCUAAACGUUUCAGUAGUUGAAGGAAAUCCUAUCAAAGUUUGCUGUUGUGGUUGAACGUGCUGACUCAAAGCACUUACUACGUGAGCUACCGGGGAGAAAAUGUGGCUGUAGUAAGUUGCACAGUGGGCCAUGUGGAAAUCGGGAGGCAGAAAUUACUCUUUACAUGAAGGAGAAGCAAUCUUGUUUCAAAGACCUUAAGCACUAAAGCUAACGAGACUGCUCAUUGAAAAGUGAUCAACAGAAAUAUUCUUGCCUGAGUGCAGCAGGAAAUUGAAGUGGUGUGAUGCCAGAAGCCAGAGAAGGCACGUGCUUGCACAGCACUGGGAAAUGCAGGGGCUUUGCUUGCAAACGUUCCCUUCGGGAUUCUCCCUCCUACUUUCUCUCAGCAAGGGCAGACACCCAGUUCUGAAUUUCAGUCCAACGCUGCCUGUGAGAACAAACCACGGUUUUCAGAGUACAAACACAGUUGGAGCUAUCAGACCACCCCUGAAUUGGC